GACCGAGUGGCGAAAGCAAUCGUACUUGCUUCUGAUACUCAUUUGGGAGUGAGAAAAUACGAUGCAGGAGUACCUGGUUCGAAUCCAGGCUAGGUCA